ACAGUAUGGGGCUAGAGGGGUUAAUUAGAUUCCCCACCUCUAUUUUAGACUAGGAAUUAUCAGUGCGAUUAGCAAGUAGCACUAUCGACCGAUCAUGAACCAUCGUGGUGAAAGAUUUGAGUUUGAGCACAUAUGUUGGUACCCGAAAGAUGGUGAACUAUACCUGAGUAGGGUGAAGCCAGGGGAAACUCUGGUGGAAGCUCGUAGCGAUUCUGACGUGCAAAUCGAUCGUCAAACUUGGGUGUAGGGGCGAAAGACUAAUCGAACCAUCUGGUCCAUGU
rnacentral:ncRNA from 1 species